rnacentral:rRNA from 1 species
UACAGAGGUCUCAAGCGUUGUUCGGAUUCAUUGGGCGUAAAGGGUGCGUAGGCGGCGCGGUAAGUCGGGUGUGAAAUCUCGGAGCUUAACUCCGAAACUGCAUUCGAUACUGCCGUGCUUGAGGACUGGAGAGGAGACUGGAAUUUACGGUGUAGCGGUGAAAUGCGUAGAUAUCGUAAGGAAGACCAGUGGCGAAGGCGGCUCACUGGCCCGUAACUGACGCUGAGGCACGAAAGCGUGGGGAGCAAACAGG